UGCACUUGUGAUACUCCUAAAGUGCAUGUUCAUUUUCUUCCCAGUCAUCUUUCACAGUAUAAAUCUGUACAGUCUUUGAGUCAGGAGCUGGGAAUCCUUGAUUGUCCUCUGGAAUGAUCCCUAUCUUUCUGAUGUCUAACCAGUGAGUUAGGCUGCGUUUGGGCUGAGGUGUAGGUGGGUGCUGCGGCACUCAGAAAGAUCCUGAUCCCUCAGUUCCCCUGCAGCGCGCAGUGGAGGGAGUGCCAGGGUACCCAAAUACUGGUGGGAGUGUGAAAACCUACAUGCCAGUUGGGUAGACAUGCCUUCUUUUUCUUUCUUUUUCUUUUUCUUUUUCUUUUUCUUUUUCUUUUUCUUUUUCUUUUUCUUUUUCUUUUUCUUUUUCUUUUUCUUUUUUUUCUUUUUCUUCUUUCUCUUUCUUUCUCUUUCUUUUCUCCUUUCUCCUUUCUCCUUUCUCCUUUCUCCUUUCUCCUUUCUCCUUUCUCCCUUUCAUUUUCCUUCUUCUCUUCCUCUUCUCCCUCCCUCCCUCCCUCCCUCUCUCCCUCCCUCCCUCCCUCCCUCACUCCCUCACUCCCUUCCUUCCUUCCUUCCUUCCUUCCUUCCUUCCUUCCUUCCUUCCUUCCUUCCUUCCUUCCUUCCUUCCUUCCUCUGUAACUUAAUUAUUCCACCCUAGAUAUCCUAAGAUCCUGAAAUCAAUUUAAGACUCUGCUUUAGCCAGCAACAUACUAUAUGAACUCUCUGUAAUACUCUACAUGAUAUUCAGUAGCAGUAGUGAGAACUCUAGUAGAAACUUAGUAGCUGCAACUUACAGACUUACUGUAGUCUUCGAUACCUUUAAUUUAUUCUGUAAACUCUUAGGAUCAGGCCUAUAUCUCACCAUUUAUCGAUACAAGAUUUAACAUAAUCUCAAAUGAGCUGUGUAGAGACAGCUGUGAUGCAAAUACUUUUCAAAAUAAAUAUUUUAUUAUUGUAAAUGUAAAUUUAUUAUUAUUAUUAUUAUUAUUAUUAUUAUUAUUAUUAUUAUUAUUAUUAUUGAGGUUAUUUUUUUCUUAAUCCUUUUUCUUUUUUCUCUGCUAAAAAGACAUGUACCACAAAGGUAGGGUAUACACAUUUCCACAGUAGGGGGAAAUAAGGAGGAAAAAGUCUUUUAAUAAAAAUGUAAUCUUACUGAAAUGUAGCCAGUUACAUUCAAGGCACAUACCAGUCUCAGAAUAUUGUUUUUCAAAAGUUUUAUGAAGUGCAAUUCCUUUAUUGUAUGCCAUUCUCUUGGUCCAUGCCAAGUAGUUAACAAAUGUCAGUCAUGAUUCCAGCAAAACCACCAUGAUGGCAAGACCUGCUUAGAUUCUUACAGUGAUUUACUAGCAAAAACCACUAAUGCAAUUACUAGCUUAACUUUCUAGAAUUUUUAGUCUGAUUAGUCAUCUCUCUGAUACCAUUUAUGACUCUAUAUUACUAUUUCACUUAAGAAUUGAUGCCAUGCAUUCUGUUUACGUAUCAAAUUGGUUUGAAUUUAAUCUUGUGAGUCCUGUCCAGAUCGUUUCUGUAUCUAACUCAACUGGUUUUGCUGCUUCAGAAAAAGCAUGCCCAGAGAACUGCUCUUGGCCUUUUAUUAGGUGCUAUUUAUAGUGCCUUUUGGUGAUAAGGACCACUGGAUAAUGGAUAACUUUUAAUUUCUAUGCUGAUUAUGGACACUUUUAUCUAAUUUAAAAAGUUUUAAAAGGCUUUUUUAACUGGCCAUACAUCCUGUCACUAAAGUCUAUCAUCACUGAACUGACUUAAAUUUCCUAUGACAAAAUGCGCACAAAUUCCUGUAUGUAUGGCUUUAAAUAUUGAGAAAUACCAUUGAAGUACUGCUAACAUUUGCUGCAAAAAUACAACUACCUAUACUUUAGAUAAUAAGUGCUCUGUCUCUUCUGAACUCCUAUUUCUGUAUGAAAACUGUAUAUGUUGUUUAAACUGCGGAAUAGCUUUAAUUUUUAUGUAUGCUUGUUAGGACGCUGUGCUUAAUGCUGAAGACUUCAUAUAGUUCUCAGCUUGAGUUAAAUAUAUCCUUUUAUUUUUCAAGUCCUGGCCAUUAUUUCAUGUUAUAUUAGUAAUAUAAAAAUUAUCUAUGGAUUGCUGAGAAAAAGGGAAGAAAAUGUGCAUGUUUACAUUUUCACACAUGUAAUACUUGCCACACAGCUUUUGAUAAUAAUCCCUUGGAUUGGCUGGAGGCCAGUUUAUUUCUUAACCUAUCACAGAACAGCUGGAGGCCAUGUGUAACUGCAGACUUGCCAAAUCCAACAUUUUUGGCUCAUGGGCAUUUGGAUUAGAGAGACUGUGGCAAUCCAAGUCUACUUCAUAGAGAAGCAUAAUUUAGGCAUGGUUCCUGUAAUCCUGUCAAUGACAGUCUGCAUUAUCACAGGCUGAAGGUUACACUUCUCACUGAUCUGGAGAAAAUCUUGAUUAAACGUAUUAUCUUAAAGAUUAACUUAGCUUGAUAGAAUUUUCCCAGAUCUCUAGCUCUGAUUCAGAGGAUGAGAGAGAAAAAAAAAAAAGAAGAAAAGGCUUUUAAAGAGAUUAAAAAGUUAAAUUAAAGGAUGAGCAUAUUGUGUUCUGGAAAAAGACAGAUUUUCAUUUUUGGAUCUAUGACGGAGCAAAGAUUUUGCUGAUGCUAAACUGAAAACUAAUGGGCCGCAAACUGGAUGUUCUCAUACCUGGUGACUCAGAAGCAGAGCAGGACAUGAUUCUUCUUUCAAAAGAUGCAUGUUUUUAAUGAGUUUGAAUGUCUUUGUACAGGCAGUAAAAGAUGAAGUAAUGCCUUUCUCCUCUUAACGUCUGCUGUGUGGGGUCUAUUCCAUGCAAGCUUUCAGAAUGUGACCUUUUAAAGUGUAUGCAAUGGUUCAGCAUGUAGUAGAAAAAGUAAUUUUUUUAAUAAUUUUUGAAAGGCAUUGCUUUGGGAGUUCAGAUUCUUGGCAAACUUCAGUGUGUAGAUACCAGUGUUAUAGACACUUCAGAAAGAAUAAUAAUUCAUCUAGAUUACAGGAUGUUCACCCAAGGGGCUGAGUGUUAUUGCCAAACUCUAAAGAGAGAACAGGGUUGUACAGAUUCCCCAUGCAGCUUGUGUUUAGUUUUAUGGAAGACAUUGUUUUAAUUUUUCUAAUGAUCCCCAAUAUAGAAAUUACAUUCUAAUCAGCGCAGGAGUCCAAUAAAUUUUUUGCUCAUGCCAGCAAAAGGAUCUUCUAAAUAUGAAAUAGUUUUACUCAGUAAAUAUCGACUGGAGCUUGAUUAGAACAUUGUGUUGAAAGGCGUAUCCUAAAUUUUACUACAAAUUUUUACUACUGAUAACUUCUGAGAAACAGGCAGUAAUGCCAACAAUGUUUCUUUGCUUGAAGAUAAUCUUCUCAUCUAAACUUCUGUUUUUACCUGUGCUCUUCCUCAGAGUUAUGCAGUUGGCUCCCUGGAUAGUAUUCACAGGCCUGCACCAGAUGCCCAGGCUCCUAAUUUUUCUGUGAUGCGGGCUAAAGUUCAUCUAAAUGCAGGAGCAUUUGUAGUUUUGGAGCACUCUCCAGGGCCCACCUAGCCACAGUUGCAAGGUUGGCAAGACCCCUUCAGCUCCAGGGGGUCCAGCAUCUUCUAGAGCCCAGGUAAGUUAUUCAGAGUGACCAGAGCUUGUUUUUUUGCCCUUUGAAACAGUGCUGCUCUUUUCUUGAUAUACUAGCUUGUGUGGUGGAGUACAUGAUCACUUGAGGAAUAGGUCCAGAUCCAUGGAUCACUUCACUGUUGGAAGACAAACCUUGUACUUUGCAUGUUUUGCUGCAGACUGCCUGAUGUUAAGGAACUUAUCCCGUUGAACCUGGGCUACCCUGUGAAAAAAAAAGAUAUCUCUAUGAUAGGAAACACUGAGGGAAAAGAGCUUGAAUCUGUCACCUUAAACUGAAAAAAACCAUCUGGGAUGAGGUGGCUCUAAUGCAGUGGAGAGAGACUUCUUGAAGGUGAACAGUUUGGCCUUUCUGCCAAAAAUAGAGUGAGAAGUGAUUUACAAACUGCAGAACGUGCAUGGAGCCCUUGAGACUACUGAUCUUCAUAUGGUGAUAAAUACAGAAAAAAGACAUUCUGUCUCUAUUCUUGCACCCUUCACCGUUGCCUUGUAUAGUAUCUCCAGAGAGUUCAGGAUCUGGAUAACAGUAAGAUAUGAUGCAGACUGAGAGCAAGAGGCCAUCUUAACUGUCAGGACAGCCCUAGCUGGAAUAUGUGUAGAGUGUAUUCCCAGUGUUUGUCACUAAUCCCAGAGGACAGAGGUAGGUUUAUAUGGCAAGAACAAGGUAUACAUCUUAUAUCUUUCUUUUCUGUGUUUCAAAUACAUGAUUGUCAUAUAUUCAGGCUUGUGUCAGAAUUAAGGGAUUUGGGUCACUAUAUUGUAAACUUCUCCUAUAUGUUAUGUACUUAAACAUAUAGAAACAAAAUUGAUACAAAAAUUAUUAUUAGGAGAGGCUGCCUAUUUCUUUCAUCAGAACUACUGCAUAUGAUAUAAUGCUGUGCUACGUGAAAAGAUCAAAAUUUUUCUCUCUCUCCAAAGACAGUGUUAAAAUAAUACAUAAAUACAUAUAAGCAAUAUAAGCAGAAUGUGAAAUCUCCUCCACCCUUUGAAUGUUGCCUACAUUUUUGUAUUGAUCUGUCUGAUUAUUUUUCAUUAUUUGAAACUACUGCAAAUAUGAAAACUCUGAAUCUUUUCUGUCCCCAAACCUCUUAAACUAAAAAAAAAAAAGAAAAAAAAGAAUGAAAAAGGAAAAAUACUGAAAGAAUCAGAAUUUCUGAAUAUAGAAAUAUUUUUAAACUGAUUAUAUGUUUUUUUGUUGUGAAAAGAUUUAAAAUGAAAAUGUCAGCAGUGCAUGUUUUUUUCCUAAAAGCAUGAACUCUAACCGGUAUCAGUCUGAUUUUACUGAUUUCCCAUAAUAUAAUGGUAAAUCAAAAGGAAGAAGCAAGGUUAAUUCCAAAUAGCACUGUGUUGAAUUAUUUUUAUUGAAAGUAAGAUUAGGCUGUAUAAGAGAAACCACGUGUUUUUAGAACGUAGAUUUCUGCUAAUUGCAAGUGUAUUCAAAUUGUUCUCUAAAAUAGAGCUGGUUAUAGAGUCCAAAAUCACCUUGUGUCCCGAAGCUACCUUGGAAGUAAAGAAAUGAUCCACAAUUUUCAUCUAGAAAGACUUCCUAUAUUCAGUGCACCUGCACUUCCUUUUCUCUCCUUUAUGCCUUUGAGUCACGAAGGAACAACAAAUAUCGAUACAUAGUAUGGGAAGAAUUUGAAAUGCCUCUUUCUAUUAAUUUUAUAUUACUGUUUAUUACUCUUUUCGAUCCCUAUUCUUACUGUCCUGUUUGAUGUCUGGAAGCUUUCAUCAGCAAGAAAGCUGAUUAAAUCACAAAACUAAUUUCAUUACUUUUUUCUGGGAUCAGAGAAUGACUUCUUCAGCACAUUUUUAGGAAAUAUUAUGUGAAUAUUUGCAUUGUGACAAUAUGCAAACAUUGUUGUUCAGUUCACUCUACAGUCAUGAACAACAGAGAUACUUUACCAGUAAGCUUAAAUACAAACAUAGAGCAUAUAAUAUUUAUAUAUGAUAAAUAUAAAAAAUUGCUUGACCAAAAGCUUUUUCUAUCAGGCAUUGGAUUCUUAAUAUGUGUGUUUUGACAUCCAUCCCAGUUCACUAUGAAGUGCUGUGUGCUAUGACUUCUUUGUGCACUCAGGUGACUGUGUUUCAGUAAUAGAAGAAUUGUUCCUUAUCUGUGCUGUAUUGAUAUUUGUAAAAUGUUUUGAGUUUCUCUGAGAUGGAAGCUGCUAUGCCAGUAUAAAGUACAGACUAUUAAUGCACAAUUAAACUUCAGACUUGGAUUUACCAGAAGAAUCUAAGACUGAAUCCUCCUUGAUAAAGUCUCCAUUAAUCUUUCACUAACAGAGAUACAUGUGCCCUCCAGUGUCUUGAUUCAUUAACAUGAUUUCCAUAAUGACAUACCUGGAAUGAAAAAGUUCACCUUUCUACUCAGUAAAUGAGUUGGAACAAAUGUAGAGAACAUUGACCUUACAGAGAGGCUUCUAGGUGAUUAAAUUGUUGAAACCAUGUCAGUAAGUGCAUUAGCCACUACAGAAACUUCCCCGUGGUGCUAAUGAAGGAGAGAGGAUAAAGAUCUCUGUAAACCAAUUGUCCAUGUGUUUCCAUCUGGCUAAUACAGAAUGGAAAAAUUAAAAGGAGUUUAUCUAAUCACAAGUCCUUACUUUUUUCCUCCACUCUGCUACUUUGGAACAAAACUGAAAAACAGUACUGAGAUUGUGAAUCAAAAGGCUUUUCAGUCUCACAGAAACACUCUGAUAUACUUAAUUCAUCUUCUGCAUUGAUUUUUCAGAGACCUGAUCAGUAGAAAUUCCAAGGUGUUAUGGUGAAGGGAACCAUAUAAAAGCCUGGCAGAGAGAUAGGACUGGUAGUUUUCAAGUCUUUGAAAAAAACUUUACCUUUCAAUACAUCUGUACCACAUAUCUUCCUGUAGAUCUAGUAAAGGACAGAGGACUUUUAGGGGGAGUGAAAGAACACAGAAAACAGAACAGCUUUUCACUGUCACUUUUAAUACAUUAUCCUUUCUAAGCUUAGCUUCCUGUUUGCAGAUCUACAGUUCUCUGCAUAAUUCAGUGCCCAGCAAGAAAUUCUGCAUGCCUGUGCACAGAAUAUUAAAUUACAAUCUAACACAAAAGAGAAUCUGUCCCAGAGCACAUGAAGACUGGGGUGUUUUCUAUGCUGUGCUGCUCUUUCUCAGCUUAUAAACCUACAAAAA